UACGGGGGGGGCAAGCGUUGUUCGGAAUUACUGGGCGUAAAGGGCGCGUAGGCGGCCUGCUAAGUCGGAUGUGAAAUCCCUCGGCUCAACCGCGGAACUGCAUCCGAUACUGGCGGGCUUGAAUCCGGGAGAGGGAUGUGGAAUUCCAGUUGUAGCGGUGAAAUGCGUAGAUAUCUGGAGGAACACCGGUGGCUAAGGCGGCAUCCUGGACCGGUAUUGACGCUGAGGCGCGAAAGCUAGGGGAGCAAACGGG
rnacentral:rRNA from 1 species